rnacentral:hammerhead_ribozyme from 1 species
AUCCAGCUGACGAGUCCCAAAAUUGGACGAAAUACGCAUCCUGGAU